UACGGAAGGGGCAAGCGUUGUUCGGAAUCAUUGGGCGUAAAGGGCGCGUAGGCGGUGGUGUUUGUCUGCUGUGAAAGUCCACGGCUCACCCGUGGAGGGUCGGUGGAAACGGCACCACUUGAGGCUGGGAGGGGUUGGUGGAAUUCCCUGUGUAGCGGUGAAAUGCGUAGAUACGGGGGAGAACACUCGUGGCGAAGGCGGCCAGCUGGCCCAGUCCUGACGCUGAGGCGCGACAGCGUGGGGAGCAAACAGG
rnacentral:rRNA from 1 species